UCAAACUUGGUCAUUUAGAGGAAGUAAAAGUCGUAACAAGGUUUCCGUAGGUAUGUAUUGCAUCGAGCCCUGUUCCUUCUUUCUCGGGCGUACGCUAACGUGAGAUUUCUAGGUGAACCUGCGGAAGGAUCAUUAUCGAGUUAGGGUCUUCUUAGGCCCGACCUCCUAACCCUAUGUUUAAUAAACCUAUGUUGCUUCGGCGGGCCCGUCUCCUGACCGUCGGAGGACCAUUAAGUUGUUCUCUGAUCAGUGCCCGUCGGUGGCCUAACUUGAUAAAUUCUGAUUAAAACGUGUCACUGUCUGAGUACCAAAUCUUAAUUAAAAUAAAAACUUUCAACAACGGAUCUCUUGGUUCUGGCAUCGAUGAAGAACGCAGC
rnacentral:misc_RNA from 1 species